GAUGAAGAACGCAGCGAAAUGCGAUACGUAAUGUGAAUUGCAGAAUUCAGUGAAUCAUCGAAUCUUUGAACGCAUAUUGCGCUCUCUGGUAUUCCGGAGAGCAUGCUUGUUUGAGUAUCAGUAAACACCUCAACUCUUUUUUCUUUUUUGAAAUUGGAGCUGGACUUGAGUGAUCCCAACGCUUUCUUCCAAGAAAGUGGCGGGUUGCUUGAAAUGCAGGUGCAGCUGAACUUUUCUCUGAGCUAUAAGCAUAUCUAUUUAGUCUGCCUAAAAAACAGAUUAUUACCUUUGCUGCAGCUAACAUAAAGGAGACUAGUUCUUGUGCUGACUGAUGCAGGAUUCACAGAGACAGCUUCGGCUGACUUUGUAAACUCGAUCUCAAAUCAAGUAAGACUACCCGCUGAACUUAAGCAUAUCAAUAAGCGGAGGA
rnacentral:misc_RNA from 1 species